rnacentral:rRNA from 1 species
UACGUAGGGUGCAAGCGUUGCCCGGAUUUAUUGGGCGUAAAGGGCGCGUAGGCGGCUCUGCACGUCCGUUGUGAAAUCGCCCGGCUCAACUGGGCGGGGUCAGCGGAUACGGCAGAGCUUGAGCAAGCUAGGGGGCAAUGGAAUUCCCGGUGUAGUGGUGGAAUGCGUAGAUAUCGGGAGGAACACCAGUGGCGAAGGCGACUUCCUGGACAGAUACUGACACUGAGGCACGAAAGCAUGGGGAGCAAACAGG